rnacentral:rRNA from 1 species
AUGAGCUGUUGUUGCUGCUGCUCCUCUUCUCUGCUGCUGCUGCUCUUCUUCAACGAGCUGCUGCUGCUGCUCUUCUCCUCCUGGUCUGCUGCUGCCAUCAAGCUGUGCCUCCUGCUGCUGCUGGUCUUCAACGAGCUAUUGCUGCUGCUCUGCUGCAAUGGCGCCCUCCACCACCACCGGUGUUGUCCCAAUCCCACUAUGUCCUGUUAUCUUCAACGGACAGAACUACAGGGACUGGGUGCAACACAUGAAGCUGCCCAUGAGGGGCCAGCUAGUCUGGGAGCACCUCUCUGGUGCUCUGCCUUGUCCCCUGCUGCCCACUCCUCCAGCUGA